GUCGCCGCCUCCUCUCCCCGCUUCCACCGCACGCCGCCACCUCUCCCCCUUCCACCGCGCGCCGCCUCCUCCCCCCGCUUCCACCGCGCGCCACCACCUCUGCCCCUUCCACGCUCCUCCCCAUCCACCGGGCGCCGCCACCUCCUCCUUCGCCAAAUCCGCCGCGCGCCGCCACCUCGCUCCCCAUCCACCGCGCCCCACUUCCCCCUCUGCCUCGGUGAAAUCCUCCCACCUCCUCCACACCUUCCUCCAAGUCGGCGGCGGCGGCGAGUUCAAAGUUCGAAGCUGCAAGCGCGGUGGUUCCCUGAGCCAGAGAAUUGCGCCUCCGCGUCCGGCCGCCGCCUCGUCCGCGACCGCCCCCGCCUCCGCGACCGACUGCCGCCACUCGUCUGCGCCUCUCCUCGCCUCCGCCUCCGUGCGCGGCCGCCGCCGCCUCCACAUCCGACGCCGCCUCGUCCGCAACCGCCUCCGCCUCCGCGGCCGACUGUCGCCGCUCGUCCGCGCCUCUCCUCGCCUCCGCCUCCGUGCGCGGCUGCCGCCUCGUCCGCGACCGCCGCCACCUCCGCGUCAAGCCGCCGCCUCGUCCUCAACCGCCUCCGCCUCCGCCUCUGCGACCGACCGCCGCCGCUCGUCCAGGCCUCGCCUCGCCUCCGCGACCGCCUCCGCCUCCGUGCGCAGCCGCCGCCUCGUCCGCGACCGCCGCCGCGCGCGCCUCCGCGUCCGGCCGCCACCUCGUCUGCAACCUCCUCCACCUCCGUGAACGACCGCCGCCGCUCGUCUGCGAGCUAGCCGCUGGGAG
rnacentral:lncRNA from 1 species